UCCUGCCUCACCCACCCUUCCUCCUCAUCUGUCCACUACCCCAAUUUUGGCUGUUUCUGUGUCCGCAUGUCCAUGCUGAUGGGACUUUUAGAAAAUCUGCUUUGGAAAGCAAUGUCCCAGGCCCUGAGGCCAUGGAGGAAGGUUUCUGCUAUGUGGGGGACUGCAGUUCCCAGGUAGAAUUCACCAGCAGGCAGCAGCAGGGGUGUCUCUGGCCUCUCCUCCCAAAGGCCAGGGACAGCCUCCCCUGUCACUGACCUCCACCCUGUGCUCUGGGGAUACUUGAGCCAAGUCAUUUACAUCUACUCUCACCAGCACCUGCAAGGUCCAUUCUAUGGGUGAGGCAACAUCAAAAUGAGUGAUCUUCCUCUCCAUUUUUCUUUUCUAAAGUAAUUUUGAGUCAGAAACAUUUCAAAUUCAUGACAUAGUUUUUAUAGAAGCAAUUGAAUGUCUGGGUCUUCUUCCCACUGACUUACUACUAGUCACACCAGAGAGCUGGGUUUCUACUGUGAAAUAAACUGAAAAUAACCCCCCUGUGCUGUACGCACACCGCCCAGCCCCAUGGCCAUGGUCCUGGCGUGGGAAGCCCACUCCUCAGUUUUGAGGAAUACCCUUUGCCAGUAGGGGGGGACACACCACUGUGGUCUCUGGAAACCUGGGUUUCCCACACGCCAGAUUGGAUUAGCCUUUCAAAGUGGUGUCUUUAGUUCAUAAUUCAUAGGGACCAAAGCUGUUUUUAAUAUGAUAAUUGAUUUUCUAACAAAGGUUUACUCUACAUUCUAACACCAGUUUUUUGUUUUUUUUUUUUACAUUCUAGAUAUUCCAAAUCAAUUGCUCGUGGCUCUAAGUUGUAAAAUGUUUUCACGUUAUGAAUGUAAUUAUUUCCUUAAUGUAUUUUUAAAAAAAAACUAAAAUCAUAUUUAAAAUAAUCUUGGAAAGACACAGGCAAAGAAAAGAGAAAGUUUGUUUUUUGGGGUUUUUUUGUUUGUUUGUUUGUUUUAGUUAACUAUGUUGGUAGCCCAUUUGAAAUGACUGUAAAUAUAUCUUGAUUGUGUAGCUCAAUGUAUUUAAUUCAGAAAGUAAAAUUUUUUUUUAUGUAAAGAGACUUGCAAUGAAAGAUCCUAGUUUUCAGUCCACGUCCCCCAUCUCAUAGUCCCUUCACCCGACCUUUCUGCUCUACAAACUGAUUUUUUUCUACUGUUGUUUAACUGUGUACCCAUUGACUGGCGCCCAUUGGCGGAACUUGUUUGUGUAUUAAUAAAACUGUGCUGUGUGGCCCAGCCUCAUGUCCUCCUGACAGUGGCUCAUGGCACAGGAGAUGUC
rnacentral:lncRNA from 1 species